AUUGAACGCUGGCGGCAGGCCUAACACAUGCAAGUCGAGCGGAUGAAGGGAGCUUGCUCCUGGAUUCAGCGGCGGACGGGUGAGUAAUGCCUAGGAAUCUGCCUGGUAGUGGGGGAUAACGUCCGGAAACGGGCGCUAAUACCGCAUACGUCCUGAGGGAGAAAGUGGGGGAUCUUCGGACCUCACGCUAUCAGAUGAGCCUAGGUCGGAUUAGCUAGUUGGUGGGGUAAAGGCCUACCAAGGCGACGAUCCGUAACUGGUCUGAGAGGAUGAUCAGUCACACUGGAACUGAGACACGGUCCAGACUCCUGCGGGAGGCAGCAGUGGGGAAUAUUGGACAAUGGGCGAGAGCCUGAUCCAGCCAUGCCGCGUGUGUGAAGAAGGUCUUCGGAUUGUAAAGCACUUUAAGUUGGGAGUAAGGGCAGUAAGUUAAUACCUUGCUGUUUUGACGUUACCAACAGAAUAAGCACCGGCUAACUUCGUG
rnacentral:rRNA from 1 species